AAUGGGGGAAACCCUGAUGCAGCGACGCCGCGUGGGUGAUGAAGGCCUUCGGGUCGUAAAGCCCUGUCGGAGGGAAAGAAAGGGUGAGUAGUUAAUACCUGCUCACAUUGACGGUACCCUCAGAGGGAGCACCGGCUAACUCCGUGCCAGCAGCCGCGGUAAUACGGAGGGUGCGAGUGGUAUUCGGAAUCACUGGGCGUAAAGCGAACGNAGGCGGAUAGGCGAGUCAGAUGUGAAAGCCCGGGGCUCAACCUCGGAACUGCAUUUGAUACUGCUUGUCUUGAGUAUGGUAGAGGUAGAUAGAAUUCCCGGUGUAGAGGUGAAAUUCGUAGAUAUCGGGAGGAAUACCAGAGGCGAAGGCGACCUACUGGGCCAUUACUGACGCUGAGGUUCGAAAGCGUGGGUAGCAAA
rnacentral:rRNA from 1 species